rnacentral:tRNA from 1 species
AGUUUAGUGCCUGAUUGAAAAGGAUUACUUUGAUAGAGUAAAUUAUGUGUUAUCCACCUCUACUA